CGGGCCCAUGUGAUGCAUCCUAUCGAAGUUAGACAGGCAUGGUCUGUCCUGGGCAUUGAUCUCAAUAGGCCGUUUUGAGAAGAAAACUGCGGCUGGUAACCAGUAUGCCCUAACCAUGACUACCUUUUUUAGCAAAUGGGUGAUUGCUAAACCUUUGGAGGGAAAAUCGGGUCCAGAGAUCUCUUCGAUAGUCACCAACAAAAUUCUUGAUUUUGGAAAAAAAUCCAUCACUGACUGGGGUGGGGAGUUUGCAAACGAUGUGCGUAGUCUCACUGUCAAACAUUGGUCAUGAAAAGUCUCAACACUUUCAAAUCAUAACCAUGAAAGUGCUAUGUUUGUCACUUUGUUUUUCAGCUCAACAGAGCUAUCUUACAGAAGUUUGGAAUCAAACACUGUGUCUCGUCUGCCUACCAUCCUCAGACAAAUGGACAAGACGAAGCAAACCGUCAAAAGGACUCUGACGAAAUACUGUGAAGACCAUCCAGAAGAAUGGGAUCUCCAUUUGAAGGGUGUUGUGUGUGCCAUCAACACCUCAUCACAGGCAUCCACAAAGCACUCUCCCUACUUUGUGCUUUUUCACCUGCACCCAAAAAUGCCAGAGGCACUGAAUGCAUGUCCCAUGGAAACGUGACACAAGGAAAGACGCCAAGAGGAGGGGGGAAUCAAAGAAGCUUGUAAGCCAUUGUAAAAGAGGUGUCUGAGAAAGGUGUUGCUACCCUGGAAAAUGAGCGAGGCAUUCAGAAGACAAAUGUCAUUGACUUGAAGCCAUACAGACGAAGGGUAUCUGCUUUCCCAAAAGUGUCAGCCCAUUCUUUGCACACUCUUGGCAUUCUCUCAACCAGCUUCAUGAGGUAGUCACCUGGAAUGAAUUUCAAUUAACAGCCCUGUGUUUGUGAGACGCAGAGUAGGUGAACGGAUGAUCUCCGCAUGUGUGGUUCCCACCGUGAAGCAUGGAGGAGAAGGACAAUGACCCAACACACCUCCAGGCUGUGAAAGGGUUAUUUGACCAAGAAGGAGAGUGAUGGAGUGCUGCAUCAGAUGACCUGGCCCGACCUCAGCCCAACACGUUUCCUGAUCUUUCUUAUAUCUCUCAGAUAUUAGAGACAUUUCAGAACAAACUUCCUUUUUAUAUUUUUUGUGACUAUCUGUUGUUCAAUGCGUUCGUAUGGGCUAAUAGAAGUAAGGCCAAACAUUUUUUUUUCAUCAUCAACAAAAAAGUAUAUGAUCCUUGGUAUGACCUUCUUAAAACAAUUCCAUAAUGUUUAGUAGACCACCCCCCUGGCUUAGACAGGGAUUAGACUCUGAUGGGUUCAUAUAUUCAACAGGUAUUUGAUGUGGCAUCCAAGCAGACCAGAGUGUACGACUCAAAGGGCUCCCGCCAAGGCGUCGGGUUAGAGGAUCUGGACUGCUGAGAUUCGAGGUUCACGGCUUUGUGGUGGAGACACAAUAACUUGAUGAGCCAGCAUUGUGGCAUCUUCGUCGAUACCAUGCCUGUCUCUGGCGGAAUAUGCGUUGACAAAGAUGACAUACGACCGGUAUGUUAUUGGAGUCACCUCAUACUGUAGUUGAUCCAGAAUUUAGCAAAAAAAAUUGAACUUUAUUACAUGGUAUUUUCUAGAACUCUCGCUCUCCACCUCGGAGUUGAUGCCCUCAUCACUGAGGAAGACAUUGAGGUAAUUUUCUUGUCUGAAUAAAAUAUGAUUUGUAGUUGAGAGACUCAUCAAGACAUUUG
rnacentral:lncRNA from 1 species